UCAAGCGCGAGAAGGGCGUUUGGUGGAUGCCUUGGCAGCAAGAGGCGAUGAAGGACGUGAUACCCUGCGAUAAGCCAUGGGGAGCCGGGAAUGGGCUUUGAUCCAUGGAUUUCCGAAUGGGGAAACCCACCUGACAGUUGAUUAUGGUUGCUCUUCGGGGCGAUCCAUAAUCGGCUGAGACAGGGACUUGGAACCUGAACACAUAGGGUUUCAAGGGCGAACCCGGGGAACUGAAACAUCUCAGUACCCGGAGGAAAGGACAUCAACAGAGACUCCGUCAGUAGUGGCGAGCGAACGCGGACCAGCCGAGCCGUGAGAACGACCAGAAUGGCCUGGAAAGGCCAGCCGGAGCGGGUGACAGCCCCGUAUGGGAAGUUCGAUCGGACGCAUCAAGUAGGGCGGGACACGUGAAAUCCUGUCUGAAGAUCGGGGGACCACCCUCGAAGGCUAAGUACUCCUUGCUGACCGAUAGCGAACAAGUACCGUGAGGGAAAGGUGAAAAGCACCCCGACGAGGGGAGUGAAACAGUACCUGAAACCGGACGCCUACAAUCAGUCGGAGCCUCCAUGAGAGGUGACGGCGUACCUUUUGUAUAAUGGGUCACCGACUUGGUCUCACGAGCGAGCUUAAGCCGAUAGGCGGAGGCGGAGCGAAAGCGAGUCUGAACAGGGCGUUCAGUUCGUGGGAUCAGACCCGAAACCGAGUGAUCUAUCCAUGGCCAGGCUGAAGGUGGGGUAACACCUACUGGAGGGCCGAACCCACGCCUGUUGAAAAAGUCGGGGAUGAGCUGUGGCUAGGGGUGAAAGGCCAAUCAAACUCGGAAAUAGCUGGUUCUCCGCGAAAUCUAUUGAGGUAGAUCGUCAGGUGGUCACCUUCGGAGGUAGAGCACCGGAAGGGCUAGGGGGGCCCAAAGCCCUACCAAACCCUACCGAACUCCGAAUGCCGGGAAGCGCAGGGCGGCAGACAGACGGUGGGUGCUAAGGUCCAUCGUCGAGAGGGAAACAGCCCAGACCACCGGCUAAGGCCCCCAAAUCGUGGCUAAGUGGGAAAGCAUGUGGGACGGCCAAAACAACCAGGAGGUUGGCUUAGAAGCAGCCAUCCUUUAAAGAAAGCGUAAUAGCUCACUGGUCUAGACAAGCUGUCCUGCGGCGAAAAUGUACCGGGGCUCAAGCCACGUGCCGAAGCUGUGGGCUUGCCAUGGGCAAGCGGUAGCGGAGCGUUCCCUAGGCCUGCGAAGCCGGACCCGCGAGGGCCGGUGGAGGUAUGGGAAGUGCGAAUGCGGACAUGAGUAGCGACAAGGAGAGUGAGAACCUCUCCCGCCGGAAGUCCAAGGGUUCCUGCGCAAGGUCAAUCCGCGCAGGGUGAGCCGGCCCCUAAGGCGAGGGCGAGAGCCGUAGCCGAUGGGAACCAGGUCAAGAUUCCUGGGCCCGCUGGAGGUGACGGCGUCGAAGCGUCGUAUUCCCUGACUGGAUUGGGGGUGCGGCCGGAGGCGUCCAGGAAACAGCCCCAGCGUAUGGACCGUACCCGAAACCGACACAGGUGGACUGGUCGAGCAUACCCAGGCGAGCGAGCGAACGGUGUCGAAGGAACUCGGCAAAUUGCCCGCGUAACUUCGGGAGAAGCGGGGCCUCGGUCCGGGCAACCGGGUCGGGGUGGCACAGGCCAGGGGGUGGCGACUGUUUACUAAAAACACAGGGCUCUGCGAACUCGAGAGAGGACGUAUAGGGUCUGACGCCUGCCCGGUGCCGGAAGGUUAAGGGGAGGGGUGCAAGCUCCGAACCGAAGCCCCGGUAAACGGCGGCCGUAACUAUAACGGUCCUAAGGUAGCGAAAUUCCUUGUCGGGUAAGUUC
rnacentral:rRNA from 1 species